AUUGCCUCAGUAACGGCGAGUGAAGCGGCAACAGCUCAAAUUUGAAAUCUGGCUCCCCUUGGGGGUCCGAGUUGUAAUUUGGAGAGGAUGUUUCUGGCGCGGCGCCUACCGGAGUUCCUUGGAACAGGACGCCACAGAGGGUGAGAGCCCCGUACGGUUGGCCGCCUAGCCUGCACGAAACUCCUUCGACGAGUCGAGUAGUUUGGGAAUGCUGCUCAAAAUGGGAGGUAAAUUUCUUCUAAAGCUAAAUACCGGCCAGAGACCGAUAGCGCACAAGUAGAGUGAUCGAAAGAUGAAAAGCACCUUGAAAAGAGGGUUAAACAGUACGUGAAAUUGUUGAAAGGGAAGCGCCUGCGACCAGACUCGCGCCCCGCGGACCAGCCGGCGUUCUCGCCGGUGCACUCCGCGGGGGGCGGGCCAGCAUCGGUUUUCCCUGGGGGAGAAAGGCUGCGGGAAUGUAGCUCCCUCGGGAGUGUUAUAGCCCGUGGCGUCAUGCCCCAGGGGGGACCGAGGACCGCGCUUCGGCAAGGAUGCUGGCGUAAUGGUCGUCGGCGACCCGUCU
rnacentral:rRNA from 1 species